rnacentral:lncRNA from 1 species
AGGCUCAGGCAAGUUCAGCAAUCUGUCCAGGGUCACUAAGGUGUCUGCAGCACAACAGCCAACACUUCUGGAGCACAUGGCCCUGCAGUGAAGGAUUCUGGAGCUCACAUUUGUCUGAAGGGGAUCCGAGGAGGUUCUGUGUUGUUGAAUGUGAUUGAGAAGCUCAGAGUAGAUGUAGACGCCGAGCUGGAGGAGAGCCUGUGCCUCAUCCUGAGAUCCUGGCCAAGUCACUGUCUAUCAUACCAGGCUUGUGUAACAUCACCCUGGAUUGUAGGGCUCCAGGAGCCACAGAGGACCUGAAUGUGACUUGGGAGAGCAAGGACCUCCUCAGAGAGCUGGAGCACAGAGAAACACGAGGACCAGCCCCUAACCCCUGGAUCCUGGCUGUGGACCUGCCCCUGAGCCAGCGGAACAGCAAUCUCACCUGUGUGGUCAGCAACUAGGUAGAUCAGAAAGAUGUAACCUUACCUUGGGGAAGCCUGUGUCAAGGUUCAUGUAGACUGGACACGGCUCUCCUUCGCGAGAUAUUCUUGGAGUCAUUGCAUUUGUGCUGUUGAUCCUGGGAGCUGGGCUAUACCUCUGGAAGAAAUGUGGGAAGAAGAAGAAGAAGAAAGAUGAAGAGGAAGAAGAGGAAGAGGAGCAGAAGGAGGAGGAGGAGCGGGAGGAGACAGGAAUAGGCAGGUUGCAUUUCUCCAUCGAGGCCCAGAUAUCUCCCCUCCCCCACUAGAAUCUGGGUUCUCUUUCUCCUGAAAGAAUGUCAUUGUUUAGCUAUAUGAAUAACCCUAGAUAUAGCAUCGAGUUAACAUGUCCAAGAUAUUUGUUACUGGAAAAAACUGAACAGCAAUGCAUGGUAUGAUUUAAUUUUUGUAAAAGUGUAUAGAUAGGUAGAUAGAAAGAUAAGCACAGAAUAAAAUCUAUACUACAUGACAGAUUA